rnacentral:rRNA from 1 species
ACGAACGCUGGCGGCGUGCCUAAUACAUGCAAGUCGAACGCUUCUUUUUCCACCGGAGCUUGCUCCACCGGAAAAAGAGGAGUGGCGAACGGGUGAGUAACACGUGGGUAACCUGCCCAUCAGAAGGGGAUAACACUUGGAAACAGGUGCUAAUACCGUAUAACAAUCGAAACCGCAUGGUUUUGAUUUGAAAGGCGCUUUCGGGUGUCGCUGAUGGAUGGACCCGCGGUGCAUUAGCUAGUUGGUGAGGUAACGGCUCACCAAGGCGACGAUGCAUAGCCGACCUGAGAGGGUGAUCGGCCACAUUGGGACUGAGACACGGCCCAAACUCCUACGGGAGGCAGCAGUAGGGAAUCUUCGGCAAUGGACGAAAGUCUGACCGAGCAACGCCGCGUGAGUGAAGAAGGUUUUCGGAUCGUAAAACUCUGUUGUUAGAGAAGAACAAGGAUGAGAGUAACUGUUCAUCCCUUGACGGUAUCUAACCAGAAAGCCACGGCUAACUACGUGCCAGCAGCCGCGGUAAUACGUAGGUGGCAAGCGUUGUCCGGAUUUAUUGGGCGUAAAGCGAGCGCAGGCGGUUUCUUAAGUCUGAUGUGAAAGCCCCCGGCUCAACCGGGGAGGGUCAUUGGAAACUGGGAGACUUGAGUGCAGAAGAGGAGAGUGGAAUUCCAUGUGUAGCGGUGAAAUGCGUAGAUAUAUGGAGGAACACCAGUGGCGAAGGCGGCUCUCUGGUCUGUAACUGACGCUGAGGCUCGAAAGCGUGGGGAGCAAACAGGAUUAGAUACCCUGGUAGUCCACGCCGUAAACGAUGAGUGCUAAGUGUUGGAGGGUUUCCGCCCUUCAGUGCUGCAGCUAACGCAUUAAGCACUCCGCCUGGGGAGUACGACCGCAAGGUUGAAACUCAAAGGAAUUGACGGGGGCCCGCACAAGCGGUGGAGCAUGUGGUUUAAUUCGAAGCAACGCGAAGAACCUUACCAGGUCUUGACAUCCUUUGACCACUCUAGAGAUAGAGCUUCCCCUUCGGGGGCAAAGUGACAGGUGGUGCAUGGUUGUCGUCAGCUCGUGUCGUGAGAUGUUGGGUUAAGUCCCGCAACGAGCGCAACCCUUGUUGUCAGUUGCCAGCAUUAAGUUGGGCACUCUGGCGAGACUGCCGGUGACAAACCGGAGGAAGGUGGGGAUGACGUCAAAUCAUCAUGCCCCUUAUGACCUGGGCUACACACGUGCUACAAUGGGAAGUACAACGAGUCGCAAAGUCGCGAGGCUAAGCUAAUCUCUUAAAGCUUCUCUCAGUUCGGAUUGUAGGCUGCAACUCGCCUACAUGAAGCCGGAAUCGCUAGUAAUCGCGGAUCAGCACGCCGCGGUGAAUACGUUCCCGGGCCUUGUACACACCGCCCGUCACACCACGAGAGUUUGUAACACCCGAAGUCGGUGAGGUAACCUUUUGGAGCCAGCCGCCUAAGGUGGGAUAGAUGAUUGGGGUG